UACGUAGGGGGCAAGCGUUGUCCGGAUUUAUUGGGCGUAAAGAGCGUGUAGGCGGCCAUGUAGGUCCGGUGUGAAAACUCGAGGCUUAACCUCGAGAUGUCAUCGGAAACCAUUUGGCUAGAGUCCGGAAGAGGAGAGUGGAAUUCCUGGUGUAGCGGUGAAAUGCGCAGAUAUCAGGAAGAACACCAAUGGCGAAAGCGGGUCUCUGGGCCGAUACUGACGCUGAGGAGCGAAAGCGUGGGGAGCGAACAGG
rnacentral:rRNA from 1 species